AGGGAUGCUACCGGGCGACCGGAUGCGGAUCUCGAAAGCCUGUCCCAGUUCGGACUGGAGUCUGCAACCCGACUCCACGAAGUUGGAUUCGCUAGUAAUCGCGCAUCAGCCAUGGCGCGGUGAAUACGUUCCCGGGCCUUGUACACACCGCCCGUCACACCAUGGGAGCCGGUAAUACCCGAAGUCAGUAGUCUAACCGCAAGGGGGACGCUGCCGAAGGUAGGAUUGGCGACUGGGGUGAAGUCGUAACAAGGUAGC
rnacentral:rRNA from 1 species